rnacentral:tRNA from 1 species
AUUUAUAUAAUAUAAUUUAUUAUAUUUGAUUUCCAAUCAAAAAAUCUAUUUCUAGUAUAAGUA